rnacentral:lncRNA from 1 species
GAGAAUCUGCUUACCAGCAAUCUACAGGCAAGCAGCAUCUCUACAUAACCUGAAAGAGUAGUCAGUUGAUUCUAUAAACAGCAACUAUAAACACAUAAAUACAGAAGAAUGAACCUCGGAGUCCUGAAAACACUGCCACUAUGAAACUAUGAAAAAGGAGACAGCGAAAUAGACUUGUCAUCCUGUGCAGGUCUCUUACUAAAGCUUCCUGUUCAAAGUCUGGCUGAGAAUUUUUGCUGCUUCUUUCCCUACCUCCUCAUUUCCGAAGGAGGUACCUUUCUGGCUUCUCUGUUGAACAUUUCCUAAAUAAAGUGUGGAUGAAAAGCAAUAGAGGAAGGAAAUGCAGAAAAUUAUAAGGCUGAAAUAGAAACUGGCCACAGCAGAGAUUAAAGAAUCAGCUACCCUGCUGAUCUGGAGGCCUUUGGGGACAUGAACUCUUGUAGCAGGAAUCAAAGAACUGGU